rnacentral:rRNA from 1 species
ACACAUGCAAGUCGAGGGGCAGCAUGAUUGAAGCUUGCUUCAAUUGAUGGCGACCGGCGCACGGGUGAGUAACGCGUAUCCAACCUUCCGUACACUCAGGGAUAGCCUUUCGAAAGAAAGAUUAAUACCCGAUGGUAUGAUGAGAUUGCAUGAUAGCAUCAUUAAAGAUUUAUCGGUGUACGAUGGGGAUGCGUUCCAUUAGGUAGUAGGCGGGGUAACGGCCCACCUAGCCGACGAUGGAUAGGGGUUCUGAGAGGAAGGUCCCCCACAUUGGAACUGAGACACGGUCCAAACUCCUACGGGAGGCAGCAGUGAGGAAUAUUGGUCAAUGGACGAGAGUCUGAACCAGCCAAGUAGCGUGAAGGAUGAAGGUCCUACGGAUUGUAAACUUCUUUUAUAAGGGAAUAAAACCUCCCACGUGUGGGAGCUUGUAUGUACCUUAUGAAUAAGCAUCGGCUAACUCCGUGCCAGCAGCCGCGGUAAUACGGAGGAUGCGAGCGUUAUCCGGAUUUAUUGGGUUUAAAGGGAGCGCAGACGGGUCGUUAAGUCAGCUGUGAAAGUUUGGGGCUCAACCUUAAAAUUGCAGUUGAUACUGGCGUCCUUGAGUGCGGUUGAGGUGUGCGGAAUUCGUGGUGUAGCGGUGAAAUGCUUAGAUAUCACGAAGAACUCCGAUUGCGAAGGCAGCACACUAAGCCGUAACUGACGUUCAUGCUCGAAAGUGUGGGUAUCAAACAGGAUUAGAUACCCUGGUAGUCCACACGGUAAACGAUGGAUACUCGCUGUUGGCGAUAUACAGUCAGCGGCUUAGCGAAAGCGUUAAGUAUCCCACCUGGGGAGUACGCCGGCAACGGUGAAACUCAAAGGAAUUGACGGGGGCCCGCACAAGCGGAGGAACAUGUGGUUU